AGGAGCAACAGCCUAGUGGCGGGGCUAGCUCUGCAGCCCUGGAUUCAGCCCCCGCAGUAGCUCCGGAGCUCUCCGUCUGCAGCGCCUGGAGGCUCCGGGGCGGG
rnacentral:pre_miRNA from 1 species